GGGAAUUAGCUCAGCUGGUAGAGCACCUGCCUUGCACGCAGGGGGCCAGCGGUUCGAGUCCGUUAUUCUCCA
rnacentral:tRNA from 1 species